GGGUCGGCGGGGACCGUGGGUGCUGGGGUGGGUCACCGGGACUCAUGGGUCGGCGGGGACUGUGGGUCAGUGGGGACCGUGGGUCAGCAGGGACCGUGGGUCUGCGGGGACUGUGGGUUCUGGGGUGGGUCACUGGGACUCGUGGGUCACUGGGACUUGUGGGUCAGCAGCGUCACUGGGACUCGUGGGUCACCGGGACUCGUGGGUCACCGGGACUCGUGGGUCAGCAGCGUCACCGGGACUCGUGGGUCACCAGGACUCGUGGGUCAGCAGCGUCACUGGGACGCAGGCAGGGCAGCCUCUCACUGCCUCCCGACGCCGGGAGACAAAGAAGGGAGAGUCUCAGGUGCGUUUAGGGUAACUUGGGGAACAGUGACCCAGACGAGAGCCUGUGGUCCUCCACGGUCAGCAUGGCCGCCGGGGCCCAGAGAGUCAGAGCUUCCCGUCUCGCUGCUGCCAUCCGUCGGCAGGGCGAGCGUGGAGGCCAGCGCAUAUCGGCUGGCUCCUUCAGGCUGUUUCUGAAAGACUUGAAAUUCUCCCCUGGCUGUGCAUUUCCGGCGGGUUCACACCUCCGCCACAACCCCGCCUGGCCCGCAACUAGGUGAUGAGCGGCACGCGUGUGCCUGGGCUCCAUCCAGCCCACGACCCUCAAACUUUGCCCCGGUCAAAUCCCUUUGGGCCUCACCCGGGUUUCUGCCAAGGUGGCAACUCUGGACGGAGGGGAGACCGGGCCCCUGGUGAGAGGCGUCUCAUAUAAUCAACAUGCAACCUGUAACAGGAGCCGAGUUUUACGUGAGCCAACUGAAGACUGUAGGUGGGAGCCAUCCUCCCGGGUGGUGCUGGGAAUCUGUCCUGGAGAAGCAGUUUUCAGCAGUUUUGUGGCUUGUCAGAACAAAGAACGUCAAACAAGUUAGGGAUCCAUUCUUCCACGGUUAAAAAAAAACAAGCGGCACGUGGCAUCUUAGUUCCCUGAUGAGGGAUUGAGCCUUCAACCCCUCCAUUGGAAGUGCAGCAUCUUAACCGCUGGACCUCCAGCUGACGGAAUCCAACACGGAUGCUCUUACUUCUGGUCAGAGCAUCCCUUUCUUUACCAGUUAAAGCAGACAUAGUGUGCGCCUGGCGGGCGGCAGGUGGGCUGUUUUAGCAGCAUCGAGCCCAGGUUAACUUGUGGCUGAGCCGGAGGGUCUCCCCAGACCUGGACGUGGAGCACUACUCCCCUUAGAGGCUCGGAGCGUGCAGUCCCAGCCCUGACCUCGGGGGGACGGAGGCCGAGUUAAUCACCAGCAGCCAGUGAGUUCACCCGUCCUGCCUGGGGUCGGACCACCCAUGGGAGCCCGAGACAUGGGGCUGAGAGCGUCGUGCUGCGGACUCGGGGGCAGGAGGCCCGCCGGUCAGGACUGUCCCGUCCAGGCCCGCUGGCCUCAUCGCGAGGCCGUUCACCCGCCACCUUUCUAGAAAGCUGGCUGUGGGAGCAAGGUGUUCUGCACCCCUGUUUACAGAAGUGGGGGUGUUGGGGGUCCAGCACUGCCUGCUGACCCUGGAGCUGAGUCCAAAUCCGUGGGGUGGACGGUGGACGACAUGAGCCUACUGCAGGAGCCGGCUGGCGUCCAGGGAACCGCGGGAGGGGCAGGCCGCGUGGGAAGCCACGCCGGCUCUUGGUGUGGUGGGGGCAGCGGGGUUCCUGCUUCACAGGUUUGGGGCUCCUCCGUCCCUGCGGUCCAGGUCGAGCAUCUGCUUGCUCUGAGCAGGCCUCCAGGAGAGCCCCCCGUGUGCACGUGCGUGGGGUCACAGUGACACCCCCGACCUGCAACCUGGGUCCUGUGACCAUAACCCCUUGUCUCAAAAGCUUACCCACGUGUGCUCUGACCUCUAACCGGCAGGGUCCUAGAACUUUCUGAAAGACU
ensembl:lncRNA